rnacentral:lncRNA from 1 species
UUAGUAUAGUAGAUUAAGUGUUGGAAGAGGAAAAAGAAAAGGGUUGGAAGAAAAUCUAAAAUCUAAAAUUCCUCUCCAACAGAGAAGAAAACCUAAUCGCUCGUCUCAACGCCACCACUCUCUCCUCCUCUCAACUUAAUCGCUCUCUUCUUGGAACUCGUUCUUCCUUUUCGAGAUCUCGUUCAUCUGUGCUUGUCUUCAAUCAAGGUAUGCGAUUAUAUUUUUUCUUCACCCUAAUCCUCUUAUCCCUAAUUCUCCCUUUGGUGUUUUCCCCUUCAAUUUGGUGUUUUUCCAUUCUAUUUCGCGCUCAUUCCGUCAUUCUCUUUGUUCAGUUCCACCAAAAUCCUAAUUCCAGAUCCAUUACCACGCUGAAAAGUAAGACCAUCUGUUAUUUAUAUUUUUGCAUUUUCGAAAACGAAAGUGAAAAUUUUAAUAACAUCAUUAAACAGGUUGCUGUUGGGAAUGGGCAGUGGCGGCGANNNNNNNNNNNNNNNNNNNNNNNNNNNNNNNNNNNNNNNNNNNNNNNNUUUUACUUGAUAGUUCUAACAUAAUUUUAUUUGCUUAUUUAUUUACUUGUUGUGUCUCAUAAUAGUAUAGUAUUCUUAAUUGCUCAUUAGUUUUAUGUUCUGAUUUUUGUUGUCUUUCUUGAUUAUGUUGUUUUAUAUAUAUUUAGCAAAUCUCAUGUCCUAGUGACGUCUAUGGAAUGAAAGGAACAAUAGCUGAAAUAAAGCUAUACCUUGUCUAUAUGGUACAUCAAUUCUUUUACUUACCUUGUACCCUUAUUACUUUGUUUUCUGCUUAUGCAAUAUCAACCCCUUUACUCAUUUGCUCCCUCUAUUAUCCAUUUUAUGACAUUUUUGCCUAUUUUCUUUGUUUAGAGUUGAAAGAAAAAACUGUACAAAUCUAAUCGGAAUGAGAAAGUUUUUAAGUUCUUAUUCUUGCUAAACAGUUGAUGAUGUAAGUUCUCAAACCCAACCCUUCAAUUUUUUUAUUCUUUAAUUUCACCUAUAUUAUUAUUAUGAUUUCUUUGUUUUAUCACUUCUCUAUAUGAUGAUAAAAAUUUGUNNNNNNNNNNNNNNNNNNNNNNNNNNNNNNNNNNNNNNUUGAAUGACUUGACAAAAUUGUUUUUAUUUUCUUUUAAAGUUUGUGUGCUGCAAUGAUUUUAUUUUUUAGGAUUGACAUAAUGGUGUGGGCAAAGUAAUUUACAUGAUAUAUUUGAUAUUUUCUUGUAUUCUAUGAAUGACAUAAUUGUGAGGGUCUAGUGUGGAGUUGAAUGACAUACUCAAGUGGAUUGUUUUAUGCUUCUCAUGUUGUAUGUGGACUAUAUCUAUGAGGGUUUGGUGUGGAGUAUAUAUUGGUUAUGGUACAGGGCUGGUAUGUGGCUUAAAGGUUAGGAUACAUGAAUCAAAGGUGUUGAUGAUGGACGUCUUAUUUGCUUGGUUUUUCCUGCUAGUAGUUUGGUUGUGUUUUGUUUGUUUCUAGGUGUGCUUCUUUUUUAGUAGAUCAAGGGUCUGGUGUCUCAUGAUUAGAAUUGGAGUAUUGGUAGUAAUAUGUUGGAUACAAUAAGUUAAUUUAUACUGUACUCAUUGUGAAUUUUAAGUUGUAUACUACUGUUAUAAGUGUUUUGUUAUGAAGUUAUUUACCCCUUUAGUUUUAACUUGGUUUGUGCAAGUAGAAAAAAGUCUAGANNNNNNNNNNNNNNNNNNNNNNNNNNNNNNNNNNNNNNNNNNUUCAAGUAAUUUAAGGCUUAGUUGGAUGUGAUAUUAAUGUGUUAUUAUGCUUGUUAUCCUAUUACUAUAAUUUGAGGUUGAUGUAUGUUUAAUAUUAGGCUUGUUUUCCUAUUAUUACUCAUAUUUGCUACUCUUUUUUUCAACUAGUUAAUUCUGAAUCUAUAAGAAAAAUGUGUUUUGUUUUUAAGAUUCUGAGUUCUCUAGCUAGAUGACUAGUGCUUUCGGGUUUGUUUUGUUUAGCCUGACCUUGGUUUUGGAUUUCUGAGAUUUAAUGUUGCCUAUCUUUUUCUCUCUGCAGCUGGGAUUCUGUUUUGAGCAUCUGUUUUGUGCUGGUGGUUUUUGGGCUUGUUUGGCUGAUCUGUUUUGUUAUGCUUGAGGCAUUUCAUAUUUUUUGGCCUGCAUUUAUCUGCGACUAAGGCAACUGAUUAUAAAAGGAAUGCUGCAAGCUAAACAUGCAAAUAUAGAUACGGAUUUAAUGGAUUUAGAUGAAGUAAUAUUUGAUGAUUUUGGAAUGUAGAAAAUUAUUUAAAGUAUGAAAUUUUGUAGGCACCUUCAAGUUAUUAGAACUUCAACGUUUUGGAUGUAUUGAUAAAACUUUGAUAUUUUGUUAUUGAGAUACUUAUGUUUAUGAUGGAAUGAUUGAUGUUUGCAAACAGUUUGUAGUUUGGGGUGAAUUUUUGUUAUGUGAGAUACUUAUGUUUAUAUGGAAUGAUUGAUGUUUGCAAACAGUCUGUAGUUUGGGAUGAAUUUUUUAAACUAAUAAAAGCAUUAAUAGGUGGAAAAAUUAUAAAUUAAACCAGUCACCCAUAAUUUAUCUGUGACGGAAUUUUUGUAUA